rnacentral:rRNA from 1 species
ACGCUGGCGGCACGCCUAACACAUGCAAGUCGAACGAAGUAGCAAUACUUAGUGGCAGACGGGUGAGUAACAUGUAGGUAUCUGCCCUUUGGCCUGGAAUAACACGAGGAAACUUGUGCUAAUACCGGAUAAGUCUUUACGGAGAAAGCUUUAUGCACCAUUGGAUGAGCCUGCACUUGAUUAGUUUGUUGGUGGGGUAAUGGCCUACCAAGACUGUGAUCAAUAGCUGAUUUGAGAGGAUGAUCAGCCACAUUGGGACUGAGACACGGCCCAAACUCCUACGGGAGGCAGCAGUGGGGAAUCUUGCACAAUGGAGGAAACUCUGAUGCAGCGAUGCCGCGUGAGUGAAGAAGGCCCUUGGGUUGUAAAGCUCUUUCGUCGGGGAAGAAAAUGACUGUACCCGAAUAAGAAGGUCCGGCUAACUUCGUGCCAGCAGCCGCGGUAAUACGAAGGGACCUAGCGUAGUUCGGAAUUACUGGGCUUAAAGAGUUCGUAGGUGGUUGAAAAAGUUAGUGGUGAAAUCCCAGAGCUUAACUCUGGAACUGCCAUUAAAACUUUUCAGCUAGAGUAUGAUAGAGGAAAGCAGAAUUUCUAGUGUAGAGGUGAAAUUCGUAGAUAUUAGAAAGAAUACCAAUUGCGAAGGCAGCUUUCUGGGAUCAUUACUGACACUGAGGAACGAAAGCAUGGGUAGCGAAGAGGAUUAGAUACCCUCGUAGUCCAUGCCGUAAACGAUGUGUGUUAGACGUUGGAAAUUUAUUUUCAGUGUCGCAGGGAAACCGAUAAACACACCGCCUGGGGAGUACGACCGCAAGGUUAAAACUCAAAUGAAUUGACGGGGACCCGCACAAGUAGUGGAGCAUGUGGUUUAAUUCGAAGAUACGCGCAGAACCUUACCAACACUUGACAUGUUCGUCGCGACUCUAAGAGAUUAGAGUUUUCGGUUCGGCCGGACGAAACACAGGUGCUGCAUGGCUGUCGUCAGCUCGUGUCGUGAGAUGUUGGGUUAAGUCCCGCAACGAGCGCAACCCUCACUUUUAGUUGCCAUCAUUAAGUUGGGCACUCUGAAAGAACUGCCAGUGAUAAGCUGGAGGAAGGUGGGGAUGACGUCAAGUCCUCAUGGCCCUUACGUGUUGGGCUACACACGUGCUACAAUGGUAUCUACAACAGGAAGCAAAACUGCGAAGUUAAGCAAAUCCCUAAAAGAUACCUCAGUUCGGAUUGCACUCUGCAACUCGAGUGCAUGAAGCUGGAAUUACUAGUAAUCGUGGAUCAGCGUGCCACGGUGAAUGCGUUCCCGGGUCUUGUACACACCGCCCGUCA